GUGGGGAAUUUUGGACAAUGGGCGCAAGCCUGAUCCAGCAAUGCCGCGUGCAGGAAGAAGGCCUUCGGGUUGUAAACUGCUUUUGUACGGAACGAAAAGGCUCUGGUUAAUACCUGGGGCUCAUGACGGUACCGUAAGAAUAAGCACCGGCUAACUACGUGCCAGCAGCCGCGGUAAUACGUAGGGUGCAAGCGUUAAUCGGAAUUACUGGGCGUAAAGCGUGCGCAGGCGGUUUUGUAAGACAGAGGUGAAAUCCCCGGGCUCAACCUGGGAAUUGCCUUUGUGACUGCAAGGCUGGAGUGCGGCAGAGGGGGAUGGAAUUCCGCGUGUAGCAGUGAAAUGCGUAGAUAUGCGGAGGAACACCGAUGGCGAAGGCAAUCCCCUGGGCCUGCACUGACGCUCAUGCACGAAAGCGUGGGGAGCAAACAGGAUUAGAUACCCUGGUAGUCC
rnacentral:rRNA from 1 species